GACGAACGCUGGCGGCGUGCUUAACACAUGCGAGUCGAACGGAAAGGCCCUGCUUUUGUGGGGUGCUCGAGUGGCGAACGGGUGAGUAACACGUGAGUAACCUGCCCUUGACUUUGGGAUAACUUCAGGAAACUGGGGCUAAUACCGGAUAGGAGCUCCUGCUGCAUGGUGGGGGUUGGAAAGUUUCGGCGGUUGGGGAUGGACUCGCGGCUUAUCAGCUUGUUGGUGGGGUAGUGGCUUACCAAGGCUUUGACGGGUAGCCGGCCUGAGAGGGUGACCGGCCACAUUGGGGCUGAGGUACCGGCCAGGCUUCUUCGGGGAGGAACAGUGGGGAAUAUUGCACAAUGGGCGGAAGCCUGAUGCAGCAACGCCGCGUGCGGGAUGACGGCCUUCGGGUUGUAAACCGCUUUCGCCUGUGACGAAGCGUGAGUGACGGUAAUGGGUAAAGAAGCACCGGCUAACUACGUG
rnacentral:rRNA from 1 species